rnacentral:rRNA from 1 species
GACGAACGCUGGCAGCGUGCUUAACACAUGCAAGUGGAGCGACGAACCAGGCUUCGGCCUGGGGCAGAGCCGCAAACGGGUGAGUAACACGUGGGUAACGUGCCCCGAUGACCGGGACAACCCGGGGAAACCCGGGCUAAUACCGGAUGUGCCCCCCUCACACCAGUGAGACGGGGCAAGGAAGCUUCGGCCUCCGCAUCGGGAUAGGCCCGCGGCCCAUUAGCUUGUUGGUGAGGUAAGAGCUCACCAAGGCUGCGAUGGGUAGCUGGUCUGAGAGGACGAUCAGCCACACUGGGACUGAGACACGGCCCAGACUCCUACGGGAGGCAGCAGUGGGGAAUCUUGCGCAAUGCACGACAGCGUGACGCAGCAACGCCGCGUGGGGGAAGAAGGCCUUCGGGUUGUAAACCCCUUUCAGGAGGGACGAAGCCCGGGCCGUUAAUAGCGGUCCCGGGUGACGGUACCUCCACAAGAAGCCCCGGCUAACUACGUGCCAGCAGCCACCGUAACAC